GGUUAAGCGACUAAGCGUACACGGUGGAUGCCCUGGCAGUCAGAGGCGAUGAAGGACGUGCUAAUCUGCGAAAAGCGUCGGUAAGGUGAUAUGAACCGUUAUAGCCGGCGAUGUCCGAAUGGGGAAACCCAGUGUGAUUCGUCACACUAUCGUUAACUGAAUACAUAGGUUAACGAGGCGAACCGGGGGAACUGAAACAUCUAAGUACCCCGAGGAAAAGAAAUCAACCGAGAUUCCCCCAGUAGCGGCGAGCGAACGGGGAGCAGCCCAGAGUCUGAAUCAGCUUGUGUGUUAGUGGAACGGUCUGGAAAGUCCGACGGUACAGGGUGAUAGUCCCGUACACCAAAAUGCACAGGCUGUGAACUCGAAGAGUAGGGCGGGACACGUGGUAUCCUGUCUGAAUAUGGGGGGACCAUCCUCCAAGGCUAAAUACUCCUGACUGACCGAUAGUGAACCAGUACCGUGAGGGAAAGGCGAAAAGAACCCCGGCGAGGGGAGUGAAAAAGAACCUGAAACCGUGUACGUACAAGCAGUGGGAGCACCUUUAUGGUGUGACUGCGUACCUUUUGUAUAAUGGGUCAGCGACUUAUAUUCUGUAGCAAGGUUAACCGUAUAGGGGAGCCGCAGGGAAACCGAGUCUUAACUGGGCGUUAAGUUGCAGGGUAUAGACCCGAAACCCGGUGAUCUAGCCAUGGGCAGGUUGAAGGUUGGGUAACACUAACUGGAGGACCGAACCGACUAAUGUUGAAAAAUUAGCGGAUGACUUGUGGCUGGGGGUGAAAGGCCAAUCAAACCGGGAGAUAGCUGGUUCUCCCCGAAAGCUAUUUAGGUAGCGCCUCGUGAACUCAUCUUCGGGGGUAGAGCACUGUUUCGGCUAGGGGGUCAUCCCGACUUACCAACCCGAUGCAAACUACGAAUACCGAAGAAUGUUAUCACGGGAGACACACGGCGGGUGCUAACGUCCGUCGUGAAGAGGGAAACAACCCAGACCGCCAGCUAAGGUCCCAAAGUCAUGGUUAAGUGGGAAACGAUGUGGGAAGGCACAGACAGCCAGGAUGUUGGCUUAGAAGCAGCCAUCAUUUAAAGAAAGCGUAAUAGCUCACUGGUCGAGUCGGCCUGCGCGGAAGAUGUAACGGGGCUAAACCAUGCACCGAAGCUGCGGCAGCGACACUAUGUGUUGUUGGGUAGGGGAGCGUUCUGUAAGCCUGCGAAGGUGGCCUGUGAGGGUUGCUGGAGGUAUCAGAAGUGCGAAUGCUGACAUAAGUAACGAUAAAGCGGGUGAAAAGCCCGCUCGCCGGAAGACCAAGGGUUCCUGUCCAACGUUAAUCGGGGCAGGGUGAGUCGACCCCUAAGGCGAGGCCGAAAGGCGUAGUCGAUGGGAAACAGGUUAAUAUUCCUGUACUUGGUGUUACUGCGAAGGGGGGACGGAGAAGGCUAUGUUAGCCGGGCGACGGUUGUCCCGGUUUAAGCAUGUAGGCUGGUUAUCCAGGCAAAUCCGGAUAAUCAAGGCUGAGGUGUGAUGACGAAGCACUACGGUGCUGAAGUAACAAAUGCCCUGCUUCCAGGAAAAGCCUCUAAGCAUCAGGUAACACGAAAUCGUACCCCAAACCGACACAGGUGGUCAGGUAGAGAAUACCAAGGCGCUUGAGAGAACUCGGGUGAAGGAACUAGGCAAAAUGGUGCCGUAACUUCGGGAGAAGGCACGCUGGUGUGUAGGUGAAGCCCCUGCGGGUGGAGCUGAGACCAGUCGAAGAUACCAGCUGGCUGCAACUGUUUAUUAAAAACACAGCACUGUGCAAACACGAAAGUGGACGUAUACGGUGUGACGCCUGCCCGGUGCCGGAAGGUUAAUUGAUGGGGUUAUCCGUAAGGAGAAGCUCUUGAUCGAAGCCCCGGUAAACGGCGGCCGUAACUAUAACGGUCCUAAGGUAGCGAAAUUCCUUGUCGGGUAAGUUCCGACCUGCACGAAUGGCGUAAUGAUGGCCAGGCUGUCUCCACCCGAGACUCAGUGAAAUUGAACUCGCUGUGAAGAUGCAGUGUACCCGCGGCAAGACGGAAAGACCCCGUGAACCUUUACUAUAGCUUGACACUGAACAUUGAGCCUUGAUGUGUAGGAUAGGUGGGAGGCUUUGAAGCGUGGACGCCAGUCUGCGUGGAGCCAACCUUGAAAUACCACCCUUUAAUGUUUGAUGUUCUAACGUUGGCCCCUUAUCGGGGUUGCGGACAGUGUCUGGUGGGUAGUUUGACUGGGGCGGUCUCCUCCCAAAGCGUAACGGAGGAGCACGAAGGUUAGCUAAUCCUGGUCGGACAUCAGGAGGUUAGUGCAAUGGCAUAAGCUAGCUUGACUGCGAGCGUGACGGCGCGAGCAGGUGCGAAAGCAGGUCAUAGUGAUCCGGUGGUUCUGAAUGGAAGGGCCAUCGCUCAACGGAUAAAAGGUACUCCGGGGAUAACAGGCUGAUACCGCCCAAGAGUUCAUAUCGACGGCGGUGUUUGGCACCUCGAUGUCGGCUCAUCACAUCCUGGGGCUGAAGUAGGUCCCAAGGGUAUGGCUGUUCGCCAUUUAAAGUGGUACGCGAGCUGGGUUUAGAACGUCGUGAGACAGUUCGGUCCCUAUCUGCCGUGGGCGCUGGAGAAUUGAGGGGGGCUGCUCCUAGUACGAGAGGACCGGAGUGGACGCAUCACUGGUGUUCGGGUUGUCAUGCCAAUGGCACUGCCCGGUAGCUAAAUGCGGAAGAGAUAAGUGCUGAAAGCAUCUAAGCACGAAACUUGCCCCGAGAUGAGUUCUCCCUGAGACUAUAAGUCUCCUGAAGGAACGUUGAAGACGACGACGUUGAUAGGCCGGGUGUGUAAGCGCAGCGAUGCGUUGAGCUAACCGGUACUAAUGAACCGUGAGGCUUAACCUU
rnacentral:rRNA from 1 species